rnacentral:rRNA from 1 species
AGGGAAUCUUCCACAAUGGACGCAAGUCUGAUGGAGCAACGCCGCGUGAGUGAAGAAGGUUUUCGGACCGUAAAGCUCUGUUGUUGGUGAAGAAGGAUAGAGGUAGUAACUGACCUUUAUUUGACGGUAAUCAACCAGAAAGUCACGGCUAACUACGUGCCAGCAGCCGCGGUAAUACGUAGGUGGCAAGCGUUGUCCGGAUUUAUUGGGCGUAAAGCGAGCGCAGGCGGAAGAAUAAGUCUGAUGUGAAAGCCCUCGGCUUAACCGAGGAAUUGCAUCGGAAACUGUUUUCUUGAGUGCAGAAGAGGAGAGUAGAACUCCAUGUGUAGCGGUGGAAUGCGUAGAUAUAUGGAAGAAUACCAGUGGCGAAGGCGGCUCUCUGGUCUGCAACUGACGCUGAGGCUCGAAAGCAUGGGUAGCGAACAGGAUUAGAUACCCUGGUAGUCCAUGCCGUAAACGAUGAGUGCUAAGUGUUGGGAGGCUUCCGCCUCUCAGUGCUGCAGCUAACGCAUUAAGCACUCCGCCUGGGGGAGUACGACCGCAAGGUUGAAAC